CCUACGGGAGGCAGCAGUGGGGAAUAUUGCACAAUGGGGGAAACCCUGAUGCAGCGACGCCGCGUGAGUGAAGAAGUAAUUCGUUAUGUAAAGCUCUAUCAGCAGGGAAGAAAAUGACGGUACCUGAGUAAGAAGCCCCUGCUAACUACGUGCCAGCAGCCGCGGUAAUACGUAGGGGGCAAGCGUUAUCCGGAUUUACUGGGUGGAAAGGGAGCGUAGACGGCAGUGCAAGUCUGGAGGGAAAGGCGGGGGCUCAACCCCCGGACUGCUCUGGAAACUGUACGGCUGGAGUGCAGGAGAGGUAAGUGGAAUUCCUAGUGUAGCGGUGAAAUGCGUAGAUAUUAGGAGGAACACCAGUGGCGAAGGCGGCUUACUGGACUGUAACUGACGUUGAGGCUCGAAAGCGUGGGGAGCAAACAGGAUUAGAUACCCUGGUAGUC
rnacentral:rRNA from 1 species